rnacentral:rRNA from 1 species
AGGGUUUGAUCCUGGCUCAGAGCGAACGUUAGCGGCGCGCCUAACACAUGCAAGUCGCACGAGAAGGGGGCAACCCCUGAAAGUGGCGCACGGGUGCGUAACACGUAGAUAAUCUGCCCUUCGGCGGGGGAUAACGUUCCGAAAGGAGCGCUAAUACCGCAUACAGCGUUUGGUGGUUCGCCACCGGAUGGCAAAGGCUGGGAUCGCAAGACCAGUCACCGAAGGAGGAGUCUGCGGCCCAUCAGCUAGUUGGUAAGGUAACGGCUUACCAAGGCAAAGACGGGUAGCUGGUCUGAGAGGAUGAUCAGCCACACUGGUACUGGAACACGGACCAGACUCCUACGGGAGGCAGCAGUGGGGAAUCUUGGUCAAUGGGCGAAAGCCUGAACCAGCGACGCCGCGUGAGUGAUGAAGGCCUUCGGGUUGUAAAGCUCUGUGGGGAGAGACGAAAGAAUCGGUUCUAACAGGACCGAAGUUGACGGUAUCUCCUUAGCAAGCACCGGCUAACUCUGUGCCAGCAGCCGCGGUAAGACAGAGGGUGCAAACGUUGCUCGGAAUCACUGGGCGUAAAGGGCGUGUAGGCGGGAAGGUAAGUCGGGCGUGAAAUCCCUGGGCUCAACCCAGGAACUGCACUCGAAACUACUUUUCUUGAGUGCCGGAGAGGAAAGCGGAAUUCCUGGUGUAGAGGUGAAAUUCGUAGAUAUCAGGAGGAACAUCAGUGGCGAAGGCGGCUUUCUGGACGGUAACUGACGCUGAGACGCGAAAGCGUGGGGAGCAAACAGGAUUAGAUACCCUGGUAGUCCACGCCGUAAACGAUGAGCGCUAGGUGUCGUGGGUAUUGACCCCCGCGGUGCCGAAGCUAACGCAUUAAGCGCUCCGCCUGGGAAGUACGGUCGCAGA